UUAUAAGAAUAAAUUCAAUAAAGACAUUCUUAAAACCGAAGUCAAACGGCACAGACGUGCCAGUGUUAUAAUUGUAAUAUUGACAUAUUACAUGGCGACCGUGACAAGUGUCACGAACAUGUAGAACAUAUGUUAAAAUAAAUCACAUAAGAAAAAAAGCGGAGAGCGAGCGGCGAGAGCGGACAACAACAGCAGGCACCACUGGAAGCAGCAGGAAAUGGAGCGGAACUGAACGCACAAAGCCAAGGAAGACCUGCCCGAACGACUGCGAGGGACCUCUACACUCGCCGCAUUGCGAGUACACCUGUGCAGCCUGCACCGGUGCCCCAACAGAGAAGCAGUAGCAGCCUGUGCAGCCAGCACCGGCCUCGUCUAGCGCAACAAGCUAGACCCGGAGCAGUGAACCGACAGCGCUUCCUAGAGCGCCCACCGCCAAACAAAAUUUUUUUUAAAAAAUGCCUGCGAUGCAUACAACUUAACUGUAAGAUCUAAAAUUGUAAAAUUGAGCGGAAUAACAUCUGCCCAAUUAGAGUGAGGCCUGUAAAGCCACACAAACACUAGGCAGGAAGAAAUGUAAAAAAAAAAAAAACUGAAAAAAAUAUAUAUAAAUUAUAAAUGAAUUUCAACAAUUAACAAAGAAUCUAUACAGUAGUAUAAAAGAAAAAAAAAGGAAAUUUGUUUUUGUAUAUACAUAUGUCACGAACAAACAAAAUAAGUAAAUUUGAAGAAAAUUUAGAAAAUUUUUACACAAUGGGUUUAGUAGAUGUAAAAUCGGUAGAUUCGACAGCGAAUGUAAUAAACAAAGUCGAAGUCAAUAACACCGACCUAAAGCUAAUAACAAUA